rnacentral:misc_RNA from 1 species
GAUGAAGAACGUAGCGAAACGCGAUAUGUAAUGUGAAUUGCAGAAUUCAGUGAAUCAUCGAAUCUUUGAACGCACAUGGCGCCUUCCAGUAUCCUGGGAGGCAUGCCUGUCCGAGCGUCGUUUCAACCCUCGAGCCCUCGUGGCCCGGCGUUGGGGAUCUGCCACGGCAGGCCCCGAAAUACAGUGGCGGACCCGUUAGGCCCUUCCUUUGCGUAGUAGCAUCAGCCUCGCAUCGGGAGCCGGCGGGCUCUCCUGCCUCUAAACCCCCCAACAAGCCCGCUCCGGCGGCACCAAGGUUGACCUCGGAUCAGGUAGGGAUACCCGCUGAACUUAAGCAUAUCAAUAAGCGGAGGA